rnacentral:tRNA from 1 species
CCGAGUGUAGCUCAGUUGGUAGAGCGAUUGACUGUAGUGUUCUAUACGGUGUUUCAGUAUUCUCGGAAAUCAAUUGGUCGCUGGUUCGAUUCCGGCCACUCGGA